rnacentral:rRNA from 1 species
AUUGAACGCUGGCGGCAUGCCUUACACAUGCAAGUCGAACGGCAGCACGGGAGCAAUCCUGGUGGCGAGUGGCGAACGGGUGAGUAAUAUAUCGGAACGUGCCCAGUCGUGGGGGAUAACGUAGCGAAAGCUACGCUAAUACCGCAUACGAUCUAUGGAUGAAAGCGGGGGAUCGCAAGACCUCGCGCGAUUGGAGCGGCCGAUAUCAGAUUAGGUAGUUGGUGGGGUAAAAGCCUACCAAGCCUUCGAUCUGUAGCUGGUCUGAGAGGACGACCAGCCACACUGGAACUGAGACACGGUCCAGACUCCUACGGGAGGCAGCAGUGGGGAAUUUUGGACAAUGGGCGCAAGCCUGAUCCAGCAAUGCCGCGUGCAGGAUGAAGGCCUUCGGGUUGU